CGCACCUUGCGCUCCUUGGUAUUCCGAGGAGCAUGCCUGUUUGAGUGUCAUUAAAUUCUCAACCUCACCGGUUUUCUGAACCGUUCUCCGAGGCUUGGAUGUGGGGGUCUGUGCAGGUCGCCUCAGCGCGGUCUGCUCCCCUGAAAUGCAUUAGCGAGAUUCAUUCUGGACCUCCGUCUAUCGGUGUGAUAAUUAUCUACGUCGUUGACUUGGUUCGGACUCGCUUCUAACCGUCCGCGAGGACAACAUUACUUGACAAUUUGACCUCAAAUCAGGUAGGACUACCCGCUGAACUUAA
rnacentral:misc_RNA from 1 species